ensembl:rRNA 5S_rRNA 5S ribosomal RNA
GGCUACGGCCACGCCACCCUGAACACGCCUGAUCUCGUCUGAUCUCGGAAGCUAAGGAGGGUCAGGCCUGGUUAGUACUUGGAUAGGAAACCAUCUAGGAAGACCAGGUGCUGUAGGCG